UAACGCGUGGGAAUCUACCUUGAGCUACGGGAUAACAGAGAGAAAUUUCUGCUAAUACCGUAUGUGGCCUUUGGGCGAAAGAUUUAUCGGCUUAAGAUGAGCCCGCGUUGGAUUAGCUGGUUGGUGGGGUAAAGGCCUACCAAGGCGACGAUCCAUAGCUGGUCUGAGAGGAUGAUCAGCCACACUGGGACUGAGACACGGCCCAGACUCCUACGGGAG
rnacentral:rRNA from 1 species